AUUGAACGCUGGCGGCAUGCUUUACACAUGCAAGUCGAACGGCAGCACGGACUUCGGUCUGGUGGCGAGUGGCGAACGGGUGAGUAAUACAUCGGAACGUACCCAGUAAUGGGGGAUAACUACCCGAAAGGAUAGCUAAUACCGCAUACGCCCUACGGGGGAAAGAGGGGGAUCGCAAGACCUCUUGUUAUUGGAGCGGCCGAUGGCUGAUUAGCCAGUUGGUGAGGUAAAGGCUCACCAAGGCGACGAUCAGUAGCGGGUCUUAGAGGACGAUCCGCCACACUGGAACUGAGACACGGUCCAGACUCCUACGGGAGGCAGCAGUGGGGAAUCUUGGACAAUGGGCGCAAGCCUGAUCCAGCAAUGCCGCGUGCGUGAAGAAGGCCUUCGGGUUGUAAAGCGCUUUUGUCAGGGAGCAAAUCCUUGUGGCUAAUACCCACCGGGGAUGAGAGUACCUGAAGAAUAAGGACCGGCUAACUACGUGCCAGCAGCCGCCGUAACAC
rnacentral:rRNA from 1 species